rfam:TPA: Bos taurus chromosome X, whole genome shotgun sequence.
UCCCUGAUGGUCUAAUGGAUAAGACUCUGUGCUUCCAAUGCAGGGUGCCCAGGUUCAAUCCCUGGUCAGGGAA